GAUGAACGCUGGCGGCGUGCCUAAUACAUGCAAGUCGAGCGAACAGACGAGGAGCUUGCUCCUCUGACGUUAGCGGCGGACGGGUGAGUAACACGUGGAUAACCUACCUAUAAGACUGGGAUAACUUCGGGAAACCGGAGCUAAUACCGGAUAAUAUAUUGAACCGCAUGGUUCAAUAGUGAAAGACGGUUUUGCUGUCACUUAUAGAUGGAUCCGCGCCGCAUUAGCUAGUUGGUAAGGUAACGGCUUACCAAGGCGACGAUGCGUAGCUGACCUGAGAGGGUGAUCGGCCACACGGGAACUGAGACACGGUCCAGACUCCUACGGGAGGCAGCAGUAGGGAAUCUUCCGCAAUGGGCGAAAGCCUGACGGAGCAACGCCGCGUGAGUGAUGAAGGUCUUCGGAUCGUAAAACUCUGUUAUUAGGGAAGAACAAAUGUGUAAGUAACUAUGCACGUCUUGACGGUACCUAAUCAGAAAGCCACGGCUAACUACGUG
rnacentral:rRNA from 1 species